AUUGAACGCUGGCGGCAUGCUUUACACACGCAAGUCGAGCGGCAGCGCGGGGGCAACCCUGGCGGCGAGCGGCGAACGGGUGAGUAAUGCAUCGGAGCGUAUCCUCGAGUGGGGGAUAACCCAGCGAAAGUUGGGCUAAUACCGCAUGAGCUCUGAGGAGGAAAGCGGGGGACCUGCGAGGGCCUCGCGCUGGAGGAGCGGCCGAUGUCCGAUUAGCUAGUUGGUGGGGUAAAGGCUUACCAAGGCGACGAUCGGUAGCUGGUCUGAGAGGAUGAUCAGCCACACUGGGACUGAGACACGGCCCAGACUCCUACGGGAGUCAGCAGUGGGGAAUUGUGGACAAUGGGGGCAACCCUGAUCCAGCCAUGCCGCGUGAGUGAAGAAGGCCUUCGGGUUGUAAAGCUCUUUCGGACGGAACGAAAUGGGCGGGACUAAUACUCCUGUCUGAUGACGGUACCGUAAGAAGAAGCACCGGCUGACUACGUG
rnacentral:rRNA from 1 species